GAUGAACGCUGGCGGCGUGCCUAAUACAUGCAAGUAGAACGCUGAAGGAGGAGCUUGCUCUUCUGGAUGAGUUGCGAACGGGUGAGUAACGCGUAGGUAACCUGCCUGGUAGCGGGGGAUAACUAUUGGAAACGAUAGCUAAUACCGCAUGACAACAGUUAUUGCAUGAUAACUGUUUAAAAGGGGCAACUGCUCCACUACCAGAUGGACCUGCGUUGUAUUAGCUAGUUGGUGAGGUAACGGCUCACCAAGGCGACGAUACAUAGCCGACCUGAGAGGGUGAUCGGCCACACUGGGACGGAGACACGGCCCAGACUCCUACGGGAGGCAGCAGUAGGGAAUCUUCGGCAAUGGACGGAAGUCUGACCGAGCAACGCCGCGUGAGUGAAGAAGGUUGUCGGAUCGUAAAGCUCUGUUGUAAGAGAAGAACGAGUGCGAGAGUGGAAAGUUCACACUGUGACGGUAUCUUACCAGAAAGGGACGGCUAACUACGUG
rnacentral:rRNA from 1 species